rnacentral:rRNA from 1 species
UGCGCCCUGAAAUGUAGUCUGUGAAUGUGUCGUAUACGGCGACGCGAAGGAAGAUCUCUUGGGAAGGAGUGGUGAUAACGGUGAAACCCCUGCCCCCUGCGCAGAUCGCCGCUUGUUGCACACAAACUCAAAGUCGCGUUUCUCGGGAUUUGAACGUAAAUAAGGUGGUAACCAUCAUCUAAAGCCAAAUAACACAACUCUGGGCAGAUAGGUCACAAGUACCGUGAGGGAACGAUGAAAAGGACUUUGGAAAGAGAGUUAACAGUAUCUGAAUUUGUUGAGAGGGAAGUGGAUGAGAUCUCCAACGUUUGACGAGACAGUUGUCGUUGUGUGGCGAACGCGGUCGUGACCUUCGUCGCCUAGCCCUUAUCGCGCCAUGGUUCUCGUCGUGCAUGCCAUACCAGGUUAAUUUCUAUACUCAGAGGCUGUUGGCUUGUACAUUGCUUACUGUGACCGCUUGCUUCGAGCGUAUGGAUAUAGACCUGGGCAACGCCUCGCCGCUCGACGUGUGCAACGGCGAGGCUGUUAAUGGUGAUGGGGUGUCAUUCGACCCGUCUUGAAACACGGACCAAGGAGUUUAACAGACGUGCGAGUUCCAGGAAAUGUGAUUUCUUCAAGCACAACGAAAGUGUAUGCUGGUAUCCGUGCACCAGCAACCGACUCUCACCUAGGAGUUGUUUGCGUGCGAGCAUGCCUGUUAAUACCCGAAAGAUGGUGAACUAUGCCCGUGGAGAGUGAGACCAGGGGAAAUUCUGGUGGAGGCUCGUAGCGAUACUGACGUGCAAAUCGUUCGUCACACAUG